AUGAUUUGUGGAAAAACUGGAUAACAGGAUUACUUAAUGACUAUAAAAGAUGCAUUUACACACGCACAUACACACGCACACACACACAACUCAAUUCAAUGCAUUGUUUAGUGUUGUUGCAGGAGGCUACAACAAGGUGUCAAAGCAGUGGUGCCUCCAGAAGUGCCUUAAACAUAUAUUUUAUACACAAUCGCUUGAAAUGCAUAUAACUUUACAAACAUACACAGGAUAGUGAUCUGACUUAGGACAGCAUGAGCACGCAGCUCUUUGCACGUGGGAGCGAAAGAGAGACAGAGAGCGGCGCCAUGAUGCAGAUGAUUAUAUUUUAAAUGCGAGGGAUAGUUAGUUUGCCUCAGCCCGCUUGAAAUGCAUAAAACUGAACAAAUACAUGAGGAUUUGUGUUCGCACUUCGGACAGAUGCGUGAGCGCGUACACGUGAGAGAGGUACAGUGAGACAGACGUGGAUGAGAGAGUGCAUGUAUCUUUGCGCUCACCGUGAACAGAGUGUUGACAAAACUUCCAAAAUAACAGUUCUCCGGUCACAUAAAAGUCAUGUGAGACCUGCUUGAAACUAAGUGCUUAGCGUCGAAUUUCUUAAUUUUUUCGCUGACGAAAGCAGAGUCGUGGAGAGCCGCUUCGCCAUGGUUUCAGUGUUUUGGAAGGGGUCUGAAACGACAGGAGGGGGCGUGUCGCCCAGAUUUACUUCCCCCGGUCUGCAUUUCCCCCAGACAUACGUUCGUCUCCCACACAAAAACACAAUUUUAUUCAAAAUAUGUAAAAUUCCGCAAAAUUCCGCAAAUUACUAGAUUCUGUGUUAAUUAGCCAAUUCCGUGAUUCCGUCCGUGAUUCCGUGAUCGCGGAAAUUAUAGGGCCCUAUUCUUCCCUCACAGGAGUGACAUUCAUAACGUAGCGGCUCCCCUUCCUUCUUUGUCGUAGCUGACUGCUACAGGAGGCCUUAGGAUGUUGAGGAUCUUGAAUGUUUUCAAAAACUGGAUCUUAAGCAAUUUUCACUUGUCUCUCAAUAAAAUAUACAACCCUACUGAAAAAUCCAGCUAAAACCAGCAUAAGCUGGUAGCUGGUUUUAGCUGGUUUAAGGUGGUUUACGCUGUCCUCCCAGCCUGACCAGCUAAGUCCAGCUAGACCAGCUUAAAAUGGGAGCAAAACACAACUAGACCAGCUUGCUACACCAGCAAAACCAGUUUCCUACACCAGCAAAACCAGCUAAAACCAAGCUGGAGACCAGCUAAAACCAGCUCACCAGCUUAUACUGGUCUUAGCUGGAUUUUUCAGUAGGGAAGAUCAAUGAAUGUAGCUCUCUGUCCACUUCGUUCUUGCAGAUCACAUGCAAUAUUCCUCCAUUUUGGAAAUGGAUACUCCGCAUGUUAGUUGGUAAGUCCAGUUCCCUCAUAUACAUUACUUGUUCUGUUAGAUUUGAACAUCCUCUGAGAAACAGAAAUAAUGAUUGUAAUCCAUUCACAUCUUCACCUUUAAUGGGUGUACAGUUAAGUAUUUUUUCCAUGUAGGCGGAUGCAAUUUUAUAUUUAUCUCCAAAAUGCUGAGCAAGAAGACUCUUUCUAUGAGAGGGGUAUAAACGGAGGUCGGAGCCAGCUGCAAAUGGGUGGGUUAGCAGCAAGUGGGUGGAGCUUUACCCGCAAGUGGGCUGUACAAACUUCCAGAGGAUUUUGAUUGGUUUAUUUAUAUCACCUGUAGCAGUUAUUGGUUUAUGCUCCACAGUUGGUGGCGCUAAUGUGUAAGUUUUGUUGCGAUCGAUCAGAAAAGAAGAAAACCGCUUUCACAUGUCAGCGUGUCGUUGAAAUGAAGGGGUAAGUUUGCUGUACAGUUUUUAGUUUUGUAAAAAAGCAUUAUAAGUUUUGAAGAAGACCAUUUUAUAAUGGCGUUUGUACGCUGUUUUUAGUCUUGAUGUAUUAAAAAAGAUAAGGGUUAAGUGUAUCCAGAUACAUUUCUGUAGUUUUUUAUUAGCACACAAAUUACAAAAUCUGUAACGUGGAUGACAAAAUCUUUGCAUAUUAUAGGAUGCACUGUAUGUUAUUCUGGGACAGAAGUUUGACUUCACUGAACUAAACAUGAAGAACAUAGGAAAAUGGUGGUGUGCCAUCUUGCUUGAAAAUUAAACAUGGGAGAAAGAGAAAAUGAGCUGUUGUAGCUGAAGAAGAAGAAGAAGAAGAAUGCUCUGCACUCCCUGAAACCUAUGGGAAGAAAAAAACUGAACUUGCAUAUGAAACAGACCAAACCCCAGUUGUGCCCUCUGUUUUUAGCAAGGAUGAGCUGUUAAAAGAUGAUGACCCUCCAUCAUGCUUCAUCUUCAAGGUAGUUGAAUGUUAUAUAAUGUGCUUUUUAAAAAAAAAUGUAACGGCCUGUGCUAACUUUUCAGUUAUCAGUAGCGUUGCUGAAGAACAUACUUCUUGAAGUUGUUCUUCAAGAAGAAGAUGCUGCCUACACGACCCUGUCAUUGACCUGCUCAAGGUUCAGGGACAUAGUUGGGGAUGACAAGUUCAAGAAUCAGGCACACUUCUUAUGGCUAGAAAGUUAUGCUGGGAAGGGAAAGCGAGGAGAGCUCCAGGGCAUUUAUUCAAAAACCUUCCACCCUGGAUUUUGCAGAUUUGACUGCAUGCAGAUCAGUUCUAAUGAGCUGAUAUAGUUUCCUUACAAAGACUAAAAAUAAUAAAAUAAAAUAAACA